CAGCAGCCGCGGUAAUACGAAGGGUGCAAGCGUUAAUCGGAAUUACUGGGCGUAAAGCGCGCGUAGGUGGUUUGGUAAGAUGGAUGUGAAAUCCCCGGGCUCAACCUGGGAACUGCAUCCAUAACUGCCUGACUAGAGUACGGUAGAGGGUGGUGGAAUUUCCUGUGUAGCGGUGAAAUGCGUAGAUAUAGGAAGGAACACCAGUGGCGAAGGCGACCACCUGGACUGAUACUGACACUGAGGUGCGAAAGCGUGGGGAGCAAACAGGAUUAGAGACUCCAGUAGUCCCUGUCUCUUAUAC
rnacentral:rRNA from 1 species